GACAUGGUCAUCUUACCUCCAUGAUGGCGGUCUUAUUGUUUUUUUUCCGUCUUUGGUUCCACUUUGCCGGAGUGAACUUCGACAACACUCGGUAUCCUCAACUAUCACAACAUGGCACCGGCUAGCAGAUUGGAAUUACUCCCGGAAGUGACGCCUGCAAAUGGGUGCAAAAGCAAAGGGAAAACAUACAAACACCCCAAAGAUGUUUGAAUGGAUAUUCAAACUACAUCACCAAACUGAUGCACUGAGCUAAAUAAUAGUGUUAUUAGUAAGCAAGCACAAAGGUCAUUUUAGUUUCUUCAAAUUCACUUUAUUUCCAAAAUUUUCAAGCACAAGUUGUAUGCCUCAUUUCAUAUCAAUGUCACACAAAAAGUUACACCUUUGAAUCUUUAUGUACAGCCAAUAAUCAGACAUGAAAAGAAAAAUCCCUGCAUUGUAACACAAACAAUCAGUACACAAGGGGGAAAAAAGCAAAAUAGAAGACUUUGCGGUUCACAGCUUAUAUUUGCAACAAGCUCUCAUUCACGCAUACACACACAAAGGGAACAUCAGCAGGUCAACUUUGAUGAACACGUGUAUCAUUUAAACACAAAAUACGUGCACGUGGUCCAGUGGUCCUUUCAAUCAGGAAGGCCUGAACCCCCUCCCAGGAGCACUAAAAUUGCUAACUGUAACAUUUAAAGGUAUUGCAGUGGGAUGCAAGGGAGGCUGUGCGUCACUUUCAUGUUUGUCAGACUUUUAUGUGUCCCAUCAGAACUACUUAGAACAUGUUUUGUCAGUUAAAAAAUGAGGAAAAUUAAAAACAAUGCUUAAAAAGUAAAAAAAUGUGAACUUGCGACAUGACUAACAAAUUAACUUACUAUUUUGGAAAAAGUGCAUAAAAAUGUGAAAAAUACAAAUUUUUUUUGAUAACACAAAUAAAACACAAAAAUUAAACCCUGAGUACUUCUGAUGACAUCUUACGACCACCCUCACAAAAACACAUGGCCUUUCUUGACGCUGGCAAAAUGGAAAGGCGUGUGACAACAGAGAAGCGCGAAGACGAGUGAGUGUCAAGCGGUGCUUUGAUUUGAGUAUAACAA